rnacentral:rRNA from 1 species
GACGAACGCUGGCGGCGUGCUUAACACAUGCAAGUCGAACGAUGAAACCUAGCUUGCUAGGUCGAUUAGUGGCGAACGGGUGAGUAACACGUGACUAACCUGCCCCUUUCUCUGGGAUAACGCUUCGAAAGGAGUGCUAAUACCGGAUACUCACAUCGAGGCACAUGCCUUGGUGUAGAAAGUUUUUCGGAAAGGGAUGGAGUCGCGGCCUAUCGCCUUGUUGGUGAGGUAACGGCUCACCAAGGCGACGACGGGUAGCCGGCCUGAGAGGGCGACCGGCCACACUGGGACUGAGACACGGCCCAGACUCCUACGGGAGGCAGCAGUGGGGAAUAUUGCACAAUGGGCGCAAGCCUGAUGCAGCGACGCCGCGUGAGGGAUGAAGGUCUUCGGAUUGUAAACCUCUUUCAGUAGGGACGAAGCGAAAGUGACGGUACCUAAGGAAGAAGCACCGGCCAGCUACGUGCCAGCAGCCGCCGUAA